rnacentral:rRNA from 1 species
UAGUCAUAUGCUUGUCUCAAAGAUUAAGCCAUGCAUGUCUAAGUAUAAGCAAUCAUACUGUGAAACUGCGAAUGGCUCAUUAAAUCAGUUAUCGUUUAUUUGAUAGUACCUUUACCUGGAUAACCGUGGUAAUUCUAGAGCUAAUACAUGCUAAAAACCCCGACUUCGGGAGGGGUGUAUUUAUUAGAUAAAAAACCAAUGCCCUCUGGGCUCCUUGGUGAUUCAUAAUAACUCAACGAAUCGCAUGGCCUUGCGCCGGCGAUGGUUCAUUCAAAUUUCUGCCCUAUCAACUUUCGAUUGUAAGAUAGAGGCUUACAAUGGUCUUAACGGGUAACGGGGAAUUAGGGUUCUAUUCCGGAGAGGGAGCCUGAGAAACGGCUACCACAUCCAAGGAAGGCAGCAGGCGCGCAAAUUACCCAAUCCUGACAUGGGGAGGUAGUGACAAUAAAUAACAAUACUGGGCUCAUCGAGUCUGGUAAUUGGAAUGAGUACAAUCUAAAUCCCUUAACGAGGAACAAUU